CUGGGUGCCUGACAUUUCUUACGACAACGACGCUUUCAGCUGUGUGCCGUCAAGGUUUUUGUCCGGUUGCCUCUUCGGGGUAAAACGGCUCAAGUUACAGCGAUUGCUGGGGCCGUGUUCGGAAAGCUAACGCUAAUGCUAAAGUUAUCGUAUCGCUGGGAGUGUUACAGCAUUAGUGCGUUGAGUAGCAGACCGAGGAGAGCAGUCAAGGCGGCACGUCUACUCUGUCUUGUUCCCGGAGCCAUGCUGCUGUUUUGUUUUGUGUUUGUUACUUGGAACACUAUUGUGAAGAUUAAACUGAUAUGCAACUGUGACAUUGGUCAAGUGUCAUCUCAAGACCCUCAAGUGGUCCUGGGUUUCUGUGAUGCGUCCACUCUUCUGUGAUUCCAUUGGGGUGGGCUUUCUGCCCAGUGUUUCGUGUCAUUACAGUGGUGGGCCAUGGUAUCGGUUAUUGUCAUACUGUCAUUGCGACGUGAAUUGUUGUAAUGGGGCUGAGUGCUCCCGGAAGCGGGCUGGUUUUCGGUCCUCGUCCACGUGGUGAUCCUAAAUUGCUGUGUAUUUGGUGUGAUUGGAGUGGUGUGGUUUUGGGAGUGCAUGUGUGCUAUCGUACCCAGCCCGCUCAUCCAUGUAGAAAACCUCUACUCUGUUUAUUAUUGUGAUUUUUGUUCCUAUGUUUAGUGUUGGCCAAAGAUGUUAAAGCCACCAACAGA